rnacentral:ncRNA from 1 species
AUACUCCCCCGGCAAACUUAUCGAAAGAUAAGGACGCAAAACUAUGGGUCUAAGAAUCGUCAUGAUUGAUGACUGCCAGGUUGCCAUA